CGUACACAAAAGCGCAUGUGUUGUGAGCUCGAUGAGUAGGGCGGGACACGUGGUAUCCUGUCUGAAUAUGGGGGGACCAUCCUCCAAGGCUAAAUACUCCUGACUGACCGAUAGUGAACCAGUACCGUGAGGGAAAGGCGAAAAGAACCCCGGCGAGGGGAGUGAAAAAGAACCUGAAACCGUGUACGUACAAGCAGUGGGAGCCCCACCACUAAGCCAGUGGUGAACUCCACAUACGCAUCCUUUGCUGAAGGUGCGGUUAACGGAGCGCAAGCGACGCCCAACACACAAAACAAGCGGUGAGUGCUUUGGGGUGGGGUGACUGCGUACCUUUUGUAUAAUGGGUCAGCGACUUAUAUUCUGUAGCAAGGUUAACCGCAUAGGGGAGCCGGAGGGAAA
rnacentral:rRNA from 1 species